ensembl:misc_RNA predicted gene, 22314
GGAAGGUUGCAAAGGUGACUUGGCUGUGUCGUCUGUCACCCCCUUGGUCACCAGCAUCGACUCUGCUGAUUAAGUCGGCCAAGCAGGGAUCCCCAGCACCCGGCACGGCUCCACGUGUGCCCCACCUGAAGCCAUGUGCUCUGCUGAGACGACCACCAGCCCUGAUGAAAGAGGAAUAUCAUGGGGUUCCCGUGCCAGUGUACCAAGGACAGUUAUGAUUCAGCCAGACAAAACGGCAAAAGUACUUAAAACCCAGCUGCCAUUGGCACACGCUUGCUGUC